rnacentral:sRNA from 1 species
CUUGUGAUAGGGAGACAAGAGUCCUAGGAAGGAAAUAGAACUUGUGAUAGGGAGACAAGAGUCCUAGGAAAUGGAAGGAGAGCACGUUUCACUCUGUCCAGCAGAGGGCAGCAGCUACCCACAAAUCAACAGCCGAGCAAAGCCAGGGCUGUGUGGGAGCUAUGCACAGGUUCUGCCUCCAGAAGCCUUCAGUGCCAGCCUCUGAGCCAGAGGGUUCCAAGCAGAAGAGGUCCUCCAAGCCCCUCUCAGCUCUUACUUACGGCAUCCCAGAUGCCCUAUUCCUCUUCUGCAGAGAGAAGGUGGGUCAGCCACUAAAUGGUGCUGGGACCUUGCAGUUUGGUGGGAAGGAGGAAGCUUACUCAAGCAAGGAAGAUGAGACAGGCAGAAACCCACGCAUAAGUCAAAAGCCCCUCCAAAGCGAGGUGUUGUUCCAGGCUGACAAGUGUCCAGCAGGGUGGACUUCAGACUCCCUGUUAGGAACUGAAUUGUGUCCCCCAAAAAGAUAAAGUCACCCCAGGGUAUGACCUAAUUCAGGAAAGGUCAUUGCAGAUGCAUUUAAUUAAAUGAAGAUGAGCUCAUGCUGGAGUAGGGUGGACUCUGAACCCAGUAGGACAAGCGUCCUUGUUAAGAAGAGGGAAAUCUGGACACACACAGAGCAGAGACCGCCGUGUGAAGAUGGAGGCAGAGAUCGGAGAGAUGCUGCCACAUGCCACAAAUGCCUGGGGCUCCCAGAAACUACACGGAGCCUCCCCCAGCGGCUUCAGCAGGAGCAUGGCUCGGCCAACACUUUAAUCUUGGUCUUCCAGCCUCCAGAACGGUGAGUCGUUUUCCUAAAAUUCCCUUUUCCACUGGUGUGUGGUGCAAGAUGAGGCACAUUUUCCAUGGAUGGUGAACAGAGGGAGGAGCCUUUUGAUCACAACCCGGUCACCCCACUUCUAAGCCACUGUGCCUCCAGCCCCACAAGACUAAGGAGAGAGAGCGCAGAGUGGUGGAGAGUGAGCUGUGCUGGGACCGUUGUUUCCGUAACCUCGUUUUCUGUGUCCAGCUGACACACCUUCAAAGCGGCAUCAGGUCCUACACUGUAGCUUGCAAUGUGCCUGUUUCCAGAAACCAAGGUGAAAGUGCUUUUAGACAGUGUUCCCAUGCAAGAGUCCCUUCCCAGCUUUUUUCUGGAAAUGCAUGUUUCUCUGAACUCUGAGUCCCAAGAAAAAUCAUUUGAGACAUCAAGAAAAUGGGGGAAGUGCUAAAAUUGUGUGGGAAUUCAAGCUUAACAAUAAACAUCAAGACAUUUUUGGUAAAAAUGAAUCCACUGACAUCGGGGAGGAGCAAGAGAACAGCACGCUGACACUGGGUCAGAGGCUAAGACCGACAUUUCUGGGAACCACUCCCGGAAGGGCACAGAUGAGACACUUUCAGCCUCUCGUCAGCCAGCCUGGCCUGUAGCUGCUGCACGUUAUGAGUGUGUUCCUGGCAUGACUGCUUCUAACAGUGAGUUUUCUGGCAAAUCAAAUAAAUACUAAUAAGUCUGUAUGCACAUUAUACUUUAUACAAAUCCUAUGAGUGAUGUUCCAGAAAUAACAAGUUUUGAAGGCAAAAUAAGUCCUUAAAUUGGCAACUUUGACACAUAAUUCCAUGUAGUAGUUAAUCUUGCUAGAAGAUCCCAAUGUUGUUAUUCUAAUACAAUCUGAUAAUGUUCACUGGCAUUUUCCACUGUUGGCCUCUUUACUAUAGCCUACAGUUGUUUGUUUGUUUAUUUGAGAUGGAGUCUUGCUCUGUUGCCUAGGCUAGAGUGCAGUGGCGUGAUCUUGGCUCACUGCAACCUCCCCCUCCCAGGUUCAAGCAGUUCUCCUGCCUCGGCCUCCCUAGAAGCUGGGAUUACAGGCACGUGCUACCACGCCCAGCUAAUUUUUGUAUUUUUGGUAGAGACGUGGUUUCAUCAUAUUGGCCAGGCUGGUCUUGAACUCCUGACCUCAGGUGAUGAGCCUGCCUCGGCCUCCCACACACAGUGCUGGGGUUACAGGUGUGAGCCACGAUUCCCGGCUGCCUACAGUUCUUUGUAAAGCAGACAAAAUAGUUUCAUUUUUUAAAGAAAUGAACAUAUAUGAGGCAACCUGUACCUAAUUUAGGAGUUCAGAAAUUCCCUGGACUGCCUAUACAUUUUGGUUUCUCAUUCCUAAUUCCCAAAGAUUAAAAUCUGUCAGGAAUUUGGAAACACUGAAUCACAGGCCAAAAUAGGACCAUGUCUCCAUUCAUUCAUUCAUUCAACAAUUAUUUAUUGAGCGCAUGCUGUUUUUCAGGCACUGUGCCACAUAUUGAAAAUAGAGUAGUGAGUAAGACAAAGUCAUCACUUUAGGGAGUUUAUAUUUUAGAGGAGAGAAAGACAAAUAAAAGUGUUUAGGCUGGGCAUGGUGGCUCACACCUGUAAUCCCAGCACUUUGGGAGGUCAAGGCAGGUGGAUCACCUGAGCUCAGGAGUUCAAGACCAGCCUGGGCAACAAUCCCAUCUCUAACAAAAACAUAAAAAAUUAACCGGGUGUGGUGGCACAUGCCUGUGGUCUCAGCAACUUGGGAGGCUGAGGUGGGAGGAUCUCUUGAGCCUGGGAGGCAGAGGUUGCAGUGAGCUGAGGUUGUGACACUGGACUUCAAUCUGAGUGACAGAUCCCAUCUCAAAAACAACCCUGGGCAGGGUGUGGUGGCUCACACCUGUAAUCCCAGCACUUUGGGAGGCUGAGGCAGGCAGAUCAUGAGGUCAGGAGAUUGAGACCAUCCCGGCUAACAUGGUGAAACCCCGUCUCUACUAAAAAUACAAAAAAUUAGCUGGGCGUGGUGGCGGUUGCCUAUAGUCCCAACUACUUGGGAGGCUGAGGCUGGAGAAUUGCUUGAACCCGGGAGGCGGAAGUUGCAGUGAGCCGAGAUUGCACCGCUGCACUCCAGCCUGGGCAACAGAGUGAGACUCCAUCCCAAAAAAAAAAAAAAAACUCAGAACUGUUUAAUACAAUGUACUGGCAAGUGGUGAUGAGCACUAUGGAAACGUGAAGCAAUGUUUGAGUGCAGCGAGUGAAGCGGUGCUGUUUUGUAUGUGAUUGUCAUGAGGACCCCUCAGAAGAGCAGAGAGCUGAAUGCAGUGAGCAUAGAACCUUACUGAGGCCUGGGCAAGGCUCUUGCAGACAGCAAACUGCCCUGAGGCAGGACUGUGUUUGGCGUGUCCUGGAAACAGGAAAGAAGCCAGGGCCUCUGGAAUGUGGUGAAGGAGAGGGAAAAGUAGGAAAUGAGGCUGGACAGAGAGGCAGGGGCCAGAACAUAUAGGGCUGUGUAAGUCACAUUGAGUUCUUUAGAUUUUCCUGUAAGUGUGGAUGGGAAGCAGUUGGAGGGUUUUGAGGAGGGGUGGUGUGAUCUGACCCGCAUUUUAGAAUCAUCCUGUUGGCUGAAGUGUGGAGGAAAAAAGCAGGGGGCAGAAGUAGAGGUGAGGGGCAGCCAGUUAGGAGGCUACAGGAGUAGCCCAGACCAGACAGGAGGGUGGCUCGGCCCUCAGAGAUCUUGGUGGGGCAGAUUAAAGAGUGAUCAAGUUAGAGCUAACAGGACUUUUUGUUUUUAGACUGGGUCUCGCUUGUUGCCCAGGCUGUAGUGCACUGGUGCAAUCAUGGCUCACUGCAGCCUUGACCUCCUGGAUCAAGGUAUCCUCCCACCUCUCAGCCUCCCAAGCAGCUGGGACUACAGGUGCACGCCACCAAGCCCAGCUAAUUUUUGUAUUUAUGGAGAUAUGGGUCUCACCAUGUUACCCAGGCUGGUCUUGAACUUCUGGGCUCAAGCCAUCUGCCUGCCCUGGCCUUCCAAAGCAUUGGAAUUACAGGCCUGAGCCACUGUGCCAGGCCAGAGCCAACAGGACUUACUGAGAAAUUAUCUGAGAGAGAGGGGUCAAGGAAGACUCCCUCUGUUCAACCAAGCAACGAGGUGAAUGGUGCUGCUGCUUCCUGAGAUGGGGAAGACUGUAGAGGAAACAAACCAGGAAUGACAAAUCAGUAAUUUAGCUUCGAAUACAUUAGGUUUGAGAUGUCUAGUCUGUACCCAAACAGACCACACUGUGGCAUCUGGGCAGCAGGAUCUGCAGAAUCCAGCAGGAUGGAUGCUGAUGCCAAGCUGAGUAGACAGUUGGGUCUGUGAGUCUAAAGCUCAGGGAAGACCUCAGGGUCUGGGAAACAAAUCUGGAGAUCAUCACCCUGUCCAUGAAAGCCAAGGGAAUGAUGGAAGAUACUAUGAGAAAAAGUGAAGAGAGGAAAGAGAAGAGGUCCAUGGAAGGAGACCUGGGAGAAUCCAACCUUCGAUUAGAUCAGGAAGAGGAGAAGGAUCCAGUAAAAAACUCUGAGAAGUCUCUGGGAAGGAAGUCUUCCUUCCUUCCCCUGUACCAGGAGAGGUGCUAUCCUAGAAAUUAGUAAAGAAACAGUUUUUGAUGGGGAGAGCAGGAUCACCUUUGUCAACUGCUGCUGCGAGACUUGGAAAAAUAAGGACUGGGAAGAGAGCAAUAGAAACUUUGAAAGCCAUUGGUUAUCUUGACAAGAGUUGUUUCUGUGGGGGUGGUGAGAACUGGAGCCUGAUUGGAUGGGUUCAAGAGAGAAUGGGGAGUUCUAGCCAAGAAGGCUGAUGAGGAUGAGUCAAAUUAAAAAUGUUUUCUUUUUAUGAGUCCUCUCAUAUUUACUGAUACAACUGAUAUAUUUGGUCUCCAUUCUGCCACAUUACUUUAUAUUGAUCAUGUACUGUAUCUGCUAUGUUUCCCCAUGCAAUGUUAUUUUUUUACUUUAAAAAUUGUAUUUAUAAAGGUUUGUAAUUUUAUUCCAGUGGUUAUUUUAUAUGUACACUUUUUUAAAUGCUUUUAAUUUUUUUUUUUUAAGACAGGGUCUUGCUCUUUGCCCAGGCUGGAGUAUAAUGGCAUGAUCCUGGCUCAUCAAAGCCUUGGCCUCCUGGGCUCAGUAAGUCCUCCCACCUCAGCCACCUGAGUAGCUGGGACUACAGGCAUGUGCCACCACAACAAACUAAUUUUUUUGUAUUUUUUGUAGAAAUGGUGUCUCCCUGUGUUGCCCAGGCUGGUCUCAGUCAGGCGAUCCAGCGCACAAGCAAUCCUCUCACCUCAGCCUCCCUUGGCUCUUACUCUUAUUUUCGUGUUUAAGCUUUUACUAUCUGGUUUAUAAAUACUAUAGUAUUCUUCAUCUCCCAUCCAUUGCUCAUACAACAAUCUAGGGGCAUAUUCCGUUUUUCUCUUUCUAUUUCCCUUGUCCCAUUUUUGAGUUGCACUAUUUCCUUAUCAUCUCUUAUCAGCUGAAGCUCAUUCUCUAGUAUACCGUCAGAAAACUUUUUAUUUUUUGCAAGGGGCCAGAUAGUAAAUAUGUUCAGUUUUGCAGGCAUGCAAUCUCUGCCACAGCUCUACCAUUGUAGAGUAUAAGCAGCCAUAGACAAUAUGUAAACAAAUAGGUAUGGCUGUCUUCCCAUAAAACUUUAUUUGCAAAAACAGGUGGUGGGCCAGAUUUGGCCUAUAGGCUAAAGCCCUAUCUUAGAGUAGCAGCAGAUAAGGAGACAGAAAAACUGUACAGGAGGUGAGAGAAAACUGGCAGGAGAGCUAGGGUGAUAUUGACGAAAGAGGAGCCCUUUAAAUCUUCCAGGGGUAGAAAAAAUGAAAUUCUUUGAUGUUACUCAAUAGUUUACCUGCUCGGAAGGAGGAAAGGUGUCUCUUCCAUCUCAGGGUUGGCUCGGCAUCCAUCCUGCUGGAUUCUGCAGAUCCUGCUGGCCAGAUGCCACAGUGUGGUCAGCUGAAAGUGAUUUGCUCAUCCUGAAAACAGCAGGUAUAGAAAGCGCUCUUUCAGCGCCAUGGCAACCAGAUCGUGUUUUUCUAAAAAAGGAUCAGAUCAGCGGGUGUGUCCCUCCAGGCAUUGAUCCAUUAAUAUGCACUGAGCUCAUUUCAGAGCCAGGCCCUGGGCUGAGUGCUUGGAAUACAAAGAUGCAAAAGGCUAAGUCCUUGUUUUUAAGGAGCUCAUAGACUGGAGGAGGAGGCAGACGUGCACAGUAAACAGUGUAAUCACACGUCAUCAAAGGAAGGGACACACAAAGGGCUGGGGAGCAUCUCCUCCUCUUUGGGAGAAACUGACCUGGAGACCUAAGGUUGAGCUGACAAACUGGGAUGGGUCAAGGAAAAUGGAGAAGCUUGAGAGCUGUGGCAGCUCCGUGAAAUGGCAAGUAUGGCCAGAGGAUGGCAUCUCCAGGGUGCCGGAGAUGGCCAUGGAGAGGCACUGAGGCCAGGCCAUGCCGGGCCUCUGCUGCCUCUGCUGUCACCAAGGUCAACCACAACCUAGUGCCCAAGCCAGUGGCAUUUUCCAGCCUACUUUUACUGAUCCCUUCUUUUAGAAAAUGCUCCCUUGACAGUCUGAUUUUCAUGGUAUCAUGAUCCGCUAUCUCUGAUGUGUCCUCUGUACAUCCAGCUGCUCUUUCUCACUCUCUUAUUUGUGCUCUCACUUCCUUAAAUUUUAACCUUCUUCUCGUGCUGCACUUUCUCCAGGUAUAUGAGAAACCUCUCCAUUUUUCACUUUCAUUUGCAUUGCUCUUUGCCUGUUGGCCUCAAUUUCUCCUACCACAAGAUGAGCCCCUCUACGUAUCUAAGAAUGUGGCCUCAAGAACCCCAGUGUGGCAAUCCCAGUGAAAAGCCUUUUCCCAGUACUCAUCUCUCCAUCCUGGGGAAGGCAUGGGAUUGCUUUUGGUUGGUUGUGUACCUACCCUGGGACACAGCACUAUUAUCAGAGUGAUGGGCCAAUACAAUAUAUGGUGAGGGAAAUGAGGUUCCAUGAUUGGCCCCAUCAGUCACAAGGAUGGAAAGGCAGUUUCCUAAGACAGAUGUAUCAGGCAGGAGAGAGGAGCUAUACAAUGUCAACAGGGAAAGUGUAAUAUAAAUAAUCAUGAACUAAUAAUAGAGGGUUAGCCACUAAGGGAUAAAAAGAAGUCUAAAGGUUACAGAAACAGGUGAAUGGAUAAACAAAAUGAAAUGUUAUUCUGCCAUAAAAUGGAAUGAAAUUCUGAUACAUGCUACCCCAUGGAUAAACCUUGAAGACAUUAUGCAAAAUGAAAUAAGCCAGACUCAAAAGGGCAAAUAUUAUAUGGUGCCACUUAUACAAUGUACCAUGAAUAGUCAAUCCAUAAAGACAGAAAGUAGAAUGGAGGUUUUCAGGAGCUGGAGGAAGGGGAGAAUGGGAAGUUAUUGUUUAAUGGGUGAUACGGUUUGGCUCUGGGUCCCCACCCAAAUCUCAUCUCAAAUUGUAAUCCCAAGUCAAGGGAGGGACCUGGUGGGAGAUGAUUGGAUCAUGGAGGUUAUUCUUGUGAUAGUGAGUGAGUUCUCAUGAGAUUUGAUGGUUUAAAAGUAUGUGGCUCCCUUCUGUUUCUCUUUUUCUCUCUCUCCUGCCACUUUGUGAAGAGAUCUGCCUUGCUUACCUUCACCUUCCACCAUGAGAGUGUUUCCCAAGGCCUCCCCAGGCACACAGAACUGUGAAUCAAUCAAACCUCUUUUCUUCAUAAAUUACCCAGUCUCAGGUAGUAUCUUUAUAGCAGUGUGAGAACAGACUAUUACAAUGGGUAUAGAGUUUCACCUUGGAUUGAUAGAAAAGUUUUGGAAAUAGAUAGUGGUGAUGGCUGCAAAGCAUUGUGAAUGUAUCUAAUGUCACUGAAUUGUACACUUAAAAAUGGUUAAAAUGAUAAAUGUUAUAUAUGUUUUACCACACACACAAAAAAAUGCAGGCCAGCCUGGCCAGCAGGGUUUAACCCUGUCUCUACUAAAAAUACAAAAAUGAGCUGGGUGUGGUGGCACAUGCCUGUGAUCCCAGCUACUCUGGAGGCUGAGGCAGGAAAAUCUCUUGAACCUGAGAGGUGGAGGUUGGAGUGAGCCGAGAUCGUGCCACUGCACCCCAGCCUGGGCAAUAGAGUGAGAUUCCAUCUCAAAAACAACAAACAAACAAAGAAAAAACAGGAAUCGUGGAUAUAGGGGCAGGCACUAGCUCUAGGGCUGAAGCAGAGAACCCAAGGAAGGAACCAACUUGGAAAAAGGUCUCCCCAGGAAUGAGACUCAGAUGCCGUUGGAGAUGGUGUGGCUAGAGCCCGCAGGAUGGCAGAGAAGUUUGUUGUAGUGCUUGAGGCCGGGCUGGCAUGCAAGAAACCCGUGCACCAGUGGGGGCAGCGGGGUGGGGGCUGACAACACUCACUGAAAAGCUGCCCUCUGAGGUGCAGGCACUCACUAGGACUUCACCCGUGGUAUGUUACUGAAACUCAGGGGAGCCAACUGCUGGAGAAUUUAUGAGACACACUAUGCCACCAUCUGGGGCUUCAGCAGCGUUUGGUGAAAACCUGCCUGUGGGGUUGCUGUUAAAUUUGCUGGAGAGCUGACUGAGGUGCUAGCAGAACUCCUUAGGAAAUCACCAGGAUGAGCAUCCCUGGGUGCCCCAUGCACCAGUCAAGAGCAGGAGCAAGAGGAAAGGAAGGUAGCCUCUUCUUCCUGCAGUGUCUCUCCAGAGCCCUCCAUUGACAGCACUUAAUAUUGUGCUAGCAGGCAAAGAAGUGUUUACAGGAUUCAGCUCCAGUAUCACAAAGGAGGAUAACGAAGAGUGGAUUUGGAAUUCAGAGGCUCUAAAGUGAUAACUGUCACAGCCCACCCCUUUGGCUACUCAGUUUCCAUAUGCACCCUCCUACACAUACCUGAACUUCUAUAUGACAACGAACAAAACACAGCUAUCCUUCUUACCAGGGAAAAUAUUCCUACCCUUUCUCCCAAAUGAGAAGAUACUCAGUGCCAACAACAAUUUUAUCUAUCUCUGGCUAUAUUCAUUACUCGAAUUUGAUCACAGUCCCUCUAAAUAUUCUGUUACCAAAAGACCAAAUUGUAAAGCUAACCUCCAACAACUGGUAUAUAAACUAAUAAAGGGAAGAAGGAGAGAGAGAGAAAAUGGAUGGCAUUUUCCCAUCACCCAUCUAUCAGUGGGAAAGAACUCUGGGGAAGUGCUCUUGAGGAAAUAUCUUUGGGAAGAAUCCCUGAUUGGCCCUACUUGGGUCAUGUGUGUUGGAAUCUGUGAAAGUCGGGAAUUUUGCCCAUCUUACAAGCUAGUAAGCCUGUUAUGGUUUCAUGGAUGCUGGCAGAUGACAUGAGACUGGAUCAGAGACAAAGGACUACACUACUCAUGGCAGAACAAGUUGCACGAGGUUUGUGUUAGUUAGCAUUGGUUUUCCUUGUCCCCAAGUCCCACAGGGGUGAUGUGGAGGGGCCCAGGUGGUUACUGUACACGCAGUGUGUUUGUACUGCAGCUAAGGAACACUGAGCUUGGGAACAUACAAUUUAAUAGUAAGUGGUGAGCAAGUCUGCCCUUUGUCUGGGGCAGGGGGAUAUUGCUUUGUCAAGGCUGUCUACUGCAAACACAACCCUGAGAAAUAUCUCAAGCAAGGAACAGUCAGGACCUUGCAUUCUUGUCAUCCCCAGCAAGAGCAUGCAGAGACAAUCAGAGCCUGUGGCAAAUUGCCUGUCACAAAAAUCCACCACAAGGCCUGACAGAUCCUUGGCCAAAUUCACAUUUUCCCAUGAGUAUGCUACCUCAUCAGCUGCUCUGAUUAGUCUGACCAACAGAGGGACCAAAUCUGUUUAAUUUGAUUCCUAUCACAUUUAAAAUUAAGGCUGCUAUUGACAGGACUUCAAGCAAUACAGUGCAGCAAGUCUGCCAUAUUGAUCUCACCCAUGUCCCCAGGGUCCCGGGCUCAGCCAACUGUCUAAAAGUUCUGGGGGCGAGGGAGACCAGUCAUUCUUAUUUCAGAUAGCUAGGAUAAAAUCUAAUAUCAGUCUAGUAUUCAUUAUGACCCACUUAUGGGAGUUUAGAUUCACUGAUAUCAUUGCCAGUGACUACAGGAGGCAAUGUAGGGAGCAAAGACCCUCAUCCCUGAUGGAAGGACAUUCAUGGCCUCUCCCUUUCAAAGAGACAAUCCAAAGGGGAGCAGGUCACUCUAGUUUGGAAUUUGUUGUUAAAUUUUAUUUGAAUCAUCAUUGCAUUGGUUUGGUUAGGUAAGAUGGUUAAAUUUUAUGUGUCAACUUGGCUGGGUCAUGGGACUAAGAUAUUUGGUCAAACAUUACUCUGGAUGUUUCUGUGAGGGUGUUUUUGGAUGAGAUUAACAUUUAAAUCAUUGGACUUUGAGUAAAGCAGAUGACUCUACCUAAUGUGGAUGGCCCUCAGCCAAUCAAUUGGAGGCCUAAAUAGAACAAAAGACUGACCUCUUCCAGGCAAGAUGGAAUUCUGCCAGCACAUGAACUUUGCACUUGAACUGAAACAGUGGCUCUCCUGGGUCUCCAGCCUGCCAGCCCCCACCCUGCAGAUUUUGGACUUGCCAGCCUCCAUAAUCAUGGCAGCCCAUUCCUUAAAAUAAAUCUCACUCUCUCUCUUCCUCUAGAAUAUACAUAUAUAUAUAUAUAUAUAUAUAUACACACACACACACAUAUUAUAUAUAUUUUAUAUGCACACACAAAAUAACAGAUAGAUAGAGAUCAUAUUAGUUCUGUUUUUUUGGAGAACCCUGACUAGUCCUAGUUGCCUUUCUUUUCUUUUUCCACUUUUCUUCUGAGCUCAUGUUCCACCUUCUGAUAUCUUAACAUCAUUUCCCUGAGCUCACUUUAUCCUUUUCCUUCUUAAAGGUGACCAUUUCAUUAAGUUUUUAAGUGCCUGGUAAUUGCUUGGUUAUGACCGGUGUCUGCUCCAUGGCAGCCUCUUCCUGGUGAGUAUUCCACAUCUGCCAUUGGUUUUUCCUAUCCCUUUCCUACAUUUGCAGAGAUCCUGCAUGUCUUCCUUUUUGAUGACUCAUCUUUGAACAAGUGGAAUUUUUUUUUUUUUUUUUUUUGAGACAGAGUCUCACUCUGUCGCCAGGCUGGAGUGCAGUGGCGCAAUCUUGGUGCACUGCAACCUCCGCCUCCCGGGUUCCAGUGAUUCUCCUGCCUCAGCCUCCCAAGUAGCUGGGACUACAGGUGCCCGCCACCAUGCCCAGCUAAUUUUUUGUAUUUUUAGUAGAGACGGGGUUUCACCAUGUUGGCCAGGAUGGUCUUGAUCUCUUGACCUCGUGAUCCACCUGCCUCAGCCUCCCAAAGUGCUGGGAUUACAGGCGUGAGCCACCACGCCCGGCCAAACAAGUGGAAUUUUUCCUGGACCAGCUCUUUGCUGGUCAUGUGGGAGGAGUUGGGGCUGUGUUCCAAGUCAGCUGGAAUUUUUCUUAUAACCCAGGAUUUUACGUGUGAGCUUGAUCAGCCUUUACUUCUCAGCUUAAGCAGGUCUGGGCAUGUUUGGCAACCUGGCCUGCAUGAUGAAGAUUUCCAUAAUUUGGUGUUCAUCUAUUUAUUCAGUUUUUGCCCUAAUGAUGAAGGAGGAAGUUUACAUCUUGCUCCCUGGGGACAGGCAGAGAUAGUGUGUGCACUUCCAUCCUACAAGGACCAGAUCUGAACAGUCUGGAGAGAGGAGCUGUGGUGGCAGCAGACAGAUCUCUGCUUCAGGGGCCAGGUGUCCAGGUGAGACGCCACAGCGCGGCAGAGAGAACAGAGGCUUCUCUGCAUGCCUGCCAGGGAAUUGGCACCAUGUCAACAGAAAUCUUAGGUUACAGGAACAGGAACCAGCCCUGACUGACGUGUGCAAGCCUGGAGCUUUCCUUUCUCCUUGCACUUCCCACAUGUUCCCCACAUAACCAGCAACCACAGAGCCACCCCCUGCCACCCAGCAACUCCCUCCUGAGCUAGAAACUUGUAAGACUCAGCUAGGAGUCUGAAUGAUUGGAUAUCUAAAGCAAAGAAUAAUCUAGUUUGUAACAUGGGAUCAAAGGAAGAACUGAAUAUCCACAAUCUGUAAAAGAGGCCACUUUGGAGAUUUCUAUGCCUCUCAGGGGCUCUACCUCAGGAUGGCUCAGCUGUAAUUAUCUUCGGAUUCCCAUACAGAUCCAACUUCCCUGGAAAGAGAAAGUCUCAUGUUUGUUAAUAAUAUGAGGAAAGAAUUAAAAUAUAUCAGCUUCUAUGGGCUAAUGUCAUUUAUUUUGACUUUUCUUUUGUAGAAGAAAUGCUGAGGCAGUGUCACGCUGGUGUCUGUCCUCCUUACAGAAUGCCUGAACAGUUCCAUUGACUCAAAGUGAAGAUCAAAAGAACCAAAGGACAGCAAUAGCCAAGUGUAAUCAUCAGUAACCCUGUGUUCUAUCCACAGGUAAAAAACAAUCAUCCUCUUCAUUAUGGGUUUCAAUUUUAAAUGUAAUACAUUUUUAGAAAUGCCUAUUUCCUUUUAUAAUCUCUUUAUAUAAUCUAGGUUAUUCUGGCUCUUAGGUCUUCAUUUAGCUACUGAAAAGAUUUGAUCUCAAAUCAAUGUUCUAACCACCCAUGACCAUCUCCCACCUCUCUCCCCGUACAGCCCCCAGCAUGAAUUCUGGGAACUCAGGUAAAAUGCUUUCUGGAAACCUGCCUGUAUUAGUCUGUUGUCAAGCUGCUAAUAAACACAUACCCGAAACUGGGUAGUUUAUAAAGGAAAGAGGUUUCCUUUAUAGUUCCACAUGGCUUGGGAGGCCUCACAAUCAUGGUGGAAGGCGAAUGAGAAGUAAAGUCACAUCUUGCAUGGCAGCAGGGAAGAGAGAGUUUGUGUAGGGGAACACCCCUUUAAAAAACCAUCAGAUCUUGUGACACUCAUUCACUGUCACGAGAACAGCACGGGAAAGACCCGCCCCCAUGAUUCAAUUACCUCCCAUGACACAUGGGAAUUAUAGGAGCUACAAUUCACAAUGAGAUUUGGGUGGGGACACAGACAAACCAUGUCACCGCCUAAAACCAACUCAAUAGUCUAAGGAAUUUGACUGGGGAGAAUCUGGAGAGGAUUUAAUUAAUUUGGCAAAAGGAUUAGCAGUUGAAUCUAAUGAGAAAAGAGAAUUCUUGGAGGAAAAAAAGAUGUUUAGUUACACUGAGAAAUUAAAACCUGAAGUAAUUGCCUUUGAGAUUUUUUUCAGGAAAUGAGUAUUGACUGCCUACUGUGUGUCAAAUUAUGUGUUUCAUGUCAAAGACUCCAAAGUAGAUAAGAUAUAGGCCCAGCCUUGGGGAGCUCAUUGAGUCACAGAGAAAGUUUGAAUGUUUCAGAGGAAUCAUCAAGAACAGGGGAUCAGCAAUCUAUUAUAUUUUAAUUGCGUCUUUUCAUGAUUAUAAAAGCAAUGCAUGCCUGCUGAAGAGAAUUUGGAAAAACAAAGAAGAAAUUAAAAAUCAUCUCUGAUCCUGCCACCAGAAAUAACCACUGUUAGCAAUUGUAUCACUUCUGUAGGUCUACAUGGUUAUCAUAAUAAGCUCUAGUAUUGAUUACAUGCAUCUCAUGUACCAGAGAUUAUGCUAGACUCUCAUUUAAUCUGUACAUUAGCCCUAUGAAGUAGGGACCAUCAUUCUCCUCAUUUUACAGAUGAGGAAACAGAGGCUUGGAGAGGUUACUCUGCCUAAAGUCUCAUAGCUAGCGAGUGGCAGAGAUUGGACUCACCCAAGCUUUGUCUUAUUCUCAAGCUCUCAACCAACCCGGUGGUGAGAAGAGCCAGCAGCAAAGCCUGUCAUCUUUGUCUUCUUUUUUUUUCUAACCUCAAAUCAGGGAGAAAAUGCCCUUUGUCAUUAGAAGGGCAAGGCAAUUCUGAAGACAGCCCAGUGGCCUUGUCUCCGAUUUGGCUUUCAGGGGCCUGUCUGAUACCUAUGGAGAGACGAGGGCUGAACAAGCUGUACUCUCAAAACGAAACAAAGCAAAACAAAACUUUAGUCUCUUUAGGGACUCUCUGAUAGUAAUGCAGAGGGAGAAAGGCUUUCUUUGUCUCACUGGGAGGAAGGUUCCCUACGGAAAUUGAAGGCAGUGCCUGUUGACAUAGCGCUGCCACCUGGUGGAAAUAAUGGUGUAGGACAUCAUGUCCAGCACCACUAGCGCUGAGAGACACUCCCUGGGAAGAGAAAUGUUUGGAGAGAAAUUUGCAAGAAGUUGGAAGUCUUGCAGUAGCAGGUAGGAACAAGAAUUAUAACUGCUACUGUGAUCCCCUAAGGCUCCUCACAUCCUCUUAAGGCUUGGAGAAACUCACACUAUGUAUAUUUUCCUGUAUUUUUGAAAAAUGUUUUCCUUUAUGCUUUGUUGUAAUGAAAUUACCUCUGAUGGUCACAUACCUUAAAUAUUUAGUAUAUAUAUGAAUACUAAAUGUCCAUUUUCAGGAGUUAGUUUACCUGCAUCUAAAAUCAGGAAUAUGUCACAGAGUAACUGAGCAAAAAGUGCUGUUAGGUUUGUGCAUUUCACCCUUUGCCUGGGAUGAGAGGACCUCAAUCAUCUUGGUACUAAUGACAGGAAAAGUGCCCUCCUAUCCAUGUGUAUUGGCUACUUGACUCAAGUCUCCUUAUUUCCUUUUCUAGCAUAACAAAGGAUUGUUAUUGUUGUUUUACAUCUGUGUUAAUGAGAUAAAUAAGUUUAAAAUAAAAAGAUGUGUACCAGGCA